UUCUUAUUGAAUGACGAUGGUCACAUGUGAUAUUCUGAUUGGAUGUCAACUCCAUGAAAGAUAAAAUGCAUUGUUGUUUCGAUUGACUAAUCAGAAUAUCACACGUGACAGUCGUCAUUC
rfam:Glycine soja cultivar W05 scaffold2209_3, whole genome shotgun sequence.